GCCACACCCAUGGCAUAUGGAAGUUCCCAGGCUAGGGGUCCAACUGGGGCUGCAGCUGCUGGCCUACACCACAGCCACAGCCACAAGCUUCCUGACUUUAUCAGAAACGGCAGUGGGGUGGGGGGAGUGAGGGAGGGAACAGGAUGAAGGAUGCUCUAGGGGGAGGGGACCUGGCUACAUGCCUUGGCCCUUUGAAGGCCAUCGCAGGGUGGGAGGGAGGACUUCCUUUCUAGCUAUAGAACCUGAGCAGAUGGGCAGCCGUUCCUGCAGACAGAUUCCAGUUCCAGUCAAGGAAGAACUUUCUAGCGCACAGAGGCUUUGGCUGGGCAGCCGCACGGGCUGGUGUGAGCAAGACAGACCAACGGGCCCAAAAUCUGGGUCCAGACUGGACAGCCUCAGGCAAGCCCUUCAGUCUGAGUUCGCGGAGGAAGCCCCCUUGGAGAGGCUUAACCCUAACCCUAACCCUAACCCUAACCCUAACCCUAACCCCGGAGUGGGCAUCAGGGGGGCAGCUGAGGGGACAGUAAGACAAGGGACCAGGCUUGGGGGAGUUGGAGGGGACCCCUCACGGAGCAGGAGCCUUGAAGCCACCAAUAACAAUGCUACUUCUCCAAGUGGGGACACUGAAGCAGGGCUCCCCCAGCAGUGAGGACUGGCACUGAGGCUGGCAGAGACCACACUCAGGGUCUCUGGAAGCGACAAGGACAGGGCAGACGGGCCCCUGCGGAGGGACAAAGCCUAAGAUCUCUGGGGAGAGGGUGCAGAGAGGAGGCAACCUUCUCGCAACCCUGGGCAAUCCACCGACAGCGGAGGGUGCGGCCAAGGGGAAAGCCACCUGGCUGGCCCACCUUCCUCACUCUGUGCCCGUUCGUCCACCAAGUGUCCAUCCCUGGGGCAAGAGGAGCUCAGAAGAUCAACCUCUAUCCUCAAAGAGCUCCCAUGCCACCUGCCAGUCACCAACAACCCCCUCUUACAAAUGGAGAAGCCAAGGCCAGGAGAGGAGGCUUUGCCAAGGUCCCUAGCCAGAGAGAGGCAGAGCCAGGUGCCAGCUAGCCUUCGGUUCCCUGGUCCUUCAUUAGUGGCAUUCCUGGAUGGCUGAAGCUGGGGCGGGGCGGGAAGAAGAAGGAAAGGAAAAAGGAAGGAAAGAAAUUGGCCCUGCUGGUGGCCCUGCCCCAGGCAGGCUCUCCCAGGACACCUCCCAGCAUCCUCGACCGAGCACAGAGCACACAGCGCCCUUGUGCCAGCAGCUCUGGCACGACCUCUCACUGGAAGCUCCUUCAGGGCUGGGCCCCCCCACCGCAGCCCCAUCCCAUUCUCCAGCCCCGUACGGUAGGGGGUUCCUACACAGCGUGGAUUAUUCAUGAAAACUAGCAUGUGCCAAGGCCUAUCCCCCAGGAUCUUUUUUAUCCCCCCAGCGCAGCCUGUGAGGGGUGGGCGGGCAGUGUGAGCCACACUGUCGUACAGGGGAGGAAACCGAGGCUCCGAGAGGCCCAGCCUCUCCCCUCGGUCGGAGAAACGGAGACUCCAGCAAACAGGUAUUAAGUGUCUAUAAUGUGCAGAGCCCUGAUCUGGUAGCUCCCAGAGGGCCUGCUCCUCACAGGGCAGCGAUCCAAGCACCUUGCACACAUGCUGUCCCCUUCGCCACCACCCUAGGCAGCUAUUAUCGUGUCCCCAUUUUCUAGACGCGGAUCUGGAUGCACAGAGAAUUCAGGUAACUUGAUUCGAGCCUGAUUCCAUCCCAGGCUCUGGCCCCAGUCCACACCUUAAACCACCUUCUCCCCACAAUCAGCCUCCUGGUGAGGGAGCAAGCGGGACUUGUACCUGGGCCGGUGGCUGUGGCCUGUGCCCUUUCGGCACAUUCACUGAGGGGACGCUCGUGGAUGCCAGGAUGCCAGGAGGUGUGCAUGGCUCCGAAGUGACUCAGGCCAAAGCGGGGGGGGCGGGGGGAAGAAGAUGGGGGGAGGGGAUAGAGGGGGGAGGGGGAGGGGAAAAGGACAAAGGGAAGCAGGGGUGGGGUGGGGGAAGAAGAAUGUGAGGAGGGGGCCCACGGCCUCCCAGGAGCCUGGCAGGCCACAUUCCAGUCCAGCUGGGGCCAAGGCCCCAGCCCCUUCUGUGCCAGGGAAGAUCUGCCCGGUCCCCUUGCUGCUGGAACAUCAAAGCUGCUUCCCAGCCAGCCCCAAGGUAGCAUCCUUUGAGGUUUGGCAGAGAUGGGGCCAUAUUUCAGGCUGAUACAAAGCAGGCUGCACCCACUCCCUCCUGCCCGAGAUCCCCAUCUGGGUUGUCUACUUAAUACCCCAUUACGGGAGAAAAUAUACAGUCAGCUCCCGCUGGCCUCAGCUGCCCGUCCCUCCCUCCUCCCUCGGCAAAGAUCAAAGCUGUGCUAGAUUCCCGCCCAGAAACUCCGUAACCAGAACACAGACUGGGGCAGGGGCAGGGAGAGCCCAGUGCAGUGGCGAAGUGGGGAGGCUGGGCAGGUGCAGAUGAGGCCAGGUGUCCAGGUGGGUGCUGACGUGGCUGGCUCAGGAGAGAGCCCUGGUCUUGGGGAGGUGGCGGGGUGUCACAUCUCACCCUGGGUCCUGGAUGCCCACCUGUCCAGCCGGGCCCUCCCAACUCAACUUCACCUUGGCUCACAAAGCCCGCUGCCUUCAUGUCCACAAGGCUCUCUGAGCUCUUCCCUGCCCCCGCUGCAAGCGUUGCUACAGGCCAGUCUGUAUCUAUUGUAAUCACACCAUGGCUCGGGCCUGCCACCUGUGCCAGGUGAGCACUCCAAUGAACAUUUAAGUCUCCUAGCAAUGCCACGAGGUGGGGAGAAUCACUUCUUCUUACAGCUGGGGGACACUGAGGCCCAGGCCUUAGGUGCCGUGCCCAGGGAGGCAAGCAGCUGCAGGUCUGGGCUGCCCAGUGUCCACUCCGGCGCCACACUGAGGCACAGGACUUCCGCCGAGGAAAACCCUCACUUCUGGGAUGAGCAGCAGGUGUCCGUCUCCCCAAGGAAGCUGACAGCCACAUCCUCUACAGCAGGGGCGGUCACUGGACCCUCGCCCUGGCUGAGCACUGGAGUCCCCAGCAUCUCAAGCUCAUCUGGCCCUAACUUCUAGCAGCAGCCCCAUGCCCUAGGGUUUGUCCAUGGCUUGUACCCUUUCCAAACCAAGGAAGUAAGUUCAGAGAGGCUCAGAGACCCACAGAAGAUACAGAGCCCAUGGGGAGCUCCCAGCACACAAUAAACCCUCUCCCUGGUCACCUGGUGGGAAGGGGGGCGGGGCUUUAACUGCACACCUCUGGGUCCCGCCCACCCCACUAACCUGAAACACAACCAGAGCACAUGUCAGCCCCACUGCACCGCCGCAGCGCCGUCUCCUGGACCCUCAGGCAUGGGGUGCAAGUCAGUUAAUGAGCUGGGUCCCUUUCCUAAUUCCCACUAGGAAGUGACCAACCCCCUCCUCCUCGUGUGGGCCCUCCUCUCCCCAGACUGUCCCUCCCUUGUCUCCCUGCCUCCUUCUCAAUAAACGACCCUAUCACCUACCUGGGGCCCCCCACCCACCCCCUCAACCCACAGCAUUCUGCCUGGUCUUCCUCAUGGCCCCUUCCCAGACACCCUCCUCCGCUCCCCGGCCGCCCCAUCAGUCUGUCCACAAUACAUCAGAGCAAGCCUCACCCAACCUCCUGCGGAGACGGAACUCCCUGCCCUGGACGGGUACCCGACCUGCCCUUGGGUCCCCAUCGUUAUUUCCCCAUAGCUGCUUAACUGACAGCUAUGGGAUGAAUGGAGAGGUGAAGCCCUGCUCCUUGGCGCAUGUUGCUCCAGAACUGUAUCUUUGUCCUGUUCCCCCAGCCAUCCUUCUAGGCCCUGGUCUCCCCAUUCUCUAGCCUCUGUCCCUCUGGCCUGACAAAGUCCCUGGGCCAAGUGUCAUCCCUACUGUGUCGUCUGCCUCCCCACGGCUGGAGCUGCCUGAGGACCGGACGGUGUCUGCCCUUCGUCUCCUCCCCACGUCCAUCCCCGCACGGGGCCUCAGGGCCACUCGAGAGCCGGAAGGCAGGAAGAGCCUCUCAGGAGGGACACCAAUCCCAUCAGGAAGCAAACGCAGAGGCAGGGGUGUCCCUGGGGGCUCAGAGACCUUGUCCCCUCCCAUCUACUGAUGGCUGACCCUGGCUGAUCCCGACCCGUAUCUCCCUCCCCACGGGCAACGGAGCAGCAAGCACAGGGCGAACCAAGCAAUUUCCCAGAGCUAGUGGGGCUCGGCAAGCCAAUGUGAACAAGGAACAAACCUCCGGCCUCUGCGAGGGGGCACGGCCAGCAGUGUGAGCACAGUGGCUAAUGUGCUGCCCCCCGCCCCCCCCCCGCAGCCCCCCACCUCGAGCAGAGAGCAGGGCUGGCCAGGAGAUGCCGCGCUCGGCUGCCAAUUCCCCGCUCAGCAGAAAGCCUCCAUUUUGCAGGGAGAAAUUAAUGAAAGGGAGAAGCCUGGGAAAUUACGAGUUGCCACCUGCAAUUUCUCCUUCCAAGGAAAGUGGCGCGAUGGCUGAUUAAAGCAGCAGCCGCCCCGCCAGGCUGGGCCAGCAGCUGAGGACCCUGUCUGCCGGCUAGGAGGCAGGUGGGAAGCACUGAGGCCGGGGCUGCUAGGGGACCCCAAGCUUAAACAGCCCCUCCCGGGACCCUCGGAACUGAGGAAACCUCCAGUGGAGAGAAACUGCCUUUUAUCAGCAGGCAGGCGGUGGGCCUCUGUGGUGACCCAUGGGGCCCCAUGGAUUAAGAGCCCCCUAGCCCAUUCCCCCACGCUCAGGUGCCGGGGUCCUCGCAUCUGACCAGUGGCACGGAACUGUCAAAUCCUGGCCGCCCUCCCUCCUGGUCUGGUCACCACCCCAAGCUUCUCCUUCCAUAGACAAGCCAAGUUCCCUGAUCCUGGCCUGCUUUCCAUAUCCAGGCCUGGGGCAGUGGCCAGCUGGGAAGGGUGACUUUGGAGCCGCUGCUCUUCCCACUGCCCCACCUAAUCUGUCAGGAGCCAGACCCUUCUUCCUCCCUUCUAAGAGUUCACAGAUGUCUAGCUCCCCUCAGAUGCCAGCCCUCAUCAGAAUAUGAAUUCAGACUAAAGUGUGAAUGACUGACAUCAGCUUCAUCUCUCCUCCUCUGGCCUUUCCACAUUCUGAGGCACAGAGCUUGACUUCCUCACUGUGGGGAUAGUGAUUUGCAUGGGGGAAGACCCCCUGGGGUGAACAUCUGGCAGCUCCAGCUCUUAUAACAAGCAUCACACACAACAGAAUGCAACCACCCCAGAGGAAGACCAGGCCUCCUGUGCCAGCGUCUCCUCUUUGGCCGUGCACAUUAGCGUAAGCCCCACGACCUCUCUGAGCCUCGUCUCCGCUCGUUCUCCUCUCCCCAACUGUGUGACUCCAGCCAAGUCCCUCAGCCUCUCUGGGCUCCAGCUCUGAGAGGCGAGAGGCAGACUGCUGUGGUAUCCAUCGGAAGGCAAACUUGGAGGCACCGCUAUCUCCCAGCUCCACGGCCGUGGCCGUAUAUUAUUAUAAUGGCCUUGGCCAAUAGGGGCGCAGGCUAUUAGAAUGAGUUAAGACCAGAUUAAUCUGCUUAAAAAAAUAUGCCUGGUUUUUACUCUGUGCAUUCCCUCCUAACAACUCAGGCUCCUUCCAGGCCAUUAUCUCGUUUUAUCGUUAAUUCAAUUCCAUAAACAUGUAUUAAGUGUCUAUUAUGUGCAGAGCCCUGGUCUGGUAGCUGGGGUGGGGUGAGGGGGCUAUGGUGGGGGCGGCCCCAGUCCCCAAGGUGCCUGUCGUCAGACAGGGGAUGCACCUGACCCUCGGCUCUCGCCACUGGGACAGGAAGUGAGUGAGCCAGAGCUCAACGCGGGGACAUGCUCACCAGCCUGGUGGAUCUGGGGGUGCUUCCUGGGGAGGGUGCUCUGGACACUGGGACUGGAGACAGUAACGUGUGACAUGGACUGAAGGCCUUCUCUGUGCCAGAUACUGUGCUCAGCACUUUACACACAGGGACUCUACGGGGGGGGGGGCACUAAUGUCACCCAUUUCACAGAUGAAGAAACUGAGGUUCAGAGAGGUGAUCUGUUGGAGGUCCCCAAGCCGGUAAGGGCUAAGCCAUGAAGUCUAAGCACAGAGUCUGGGCUUCACACUCCAUGCUGGAUCCCCAGGGCCCAGAAGGGGGUGCCUGGUACAGGGAGGGCAGGCACAUGGCAUCCGUGCAUGAAGGAAGGAGGGAGGGGAGGGAUGAGCACUGAGCCCCAGCAAGGGGCCAAAGGAGCCUUGAAGGAUGGUUGGAUCUGGGUGAGCAGAGAUGAGGUGGGGGCUGGGGGAGGGCUGCC
rnacentral:lncRNA from 1 species